GCCGAACAUUGAAUCUCCAACAGUCGUUCCAAAGCUUUCUGGAACUGGGACAAAGUAUGCUGUUGCAACUCAUUGAAAGCGGGACGCAGGCCUGGAAAAGAGAGUCUUAUAGUUCUUCUGAUUUAAAAUUGAAAUCGCUGUCUGCGAACUAAAUGGAACAGCUACAUAUGCAGUAGGACAAACAAAAAAAACACAGGUCCAUGCUGGGCGUUCGGAUCUAAACUGACGGUUCACGGCUUGACACUAGAAACCUUAUCAGCCCUGGCAGUAGAAGGUGACACUAACAUAUUGAAGUGAAUUGUACUCUACACGAGUCCUGAAUACAUGGGCAUGUGCUGCAAUGUGAGUUGGAUACAAAACCAUCAUGCAAGCUCUGGUUCUUUAAUUGAACCGGAAUAGAAAUUAUUCAUACUUGCCCUGUUUUUUAUCAUUGAACGUGUCAAUGAUCGAGAUGGUGCAUCAAGACCCCGUGCUUGCAAAGGGACAUCAGUUCCAGGAAUGUGUUUGUCUAACUGCCGUUCUACUAUAACGGGUGGCUCAAUAAACGCAGGAGAGAUUAAAGUAGGAAUUAGGAAUGCAUCUGAUACCGGGAGUGGCAGCCGUCCUGUUGCUGGCGUCGAGAUGGUAGCUAAACAGAUGAUCGUUUUUUUUUUAUCUACAUGAUAUCUCAAUCUUCCGAAAUCCGAUCAAGUCAUAGUAGAAUGGUUCUUAAAACAUUCGGACCUGCUUCUGAAGAUUUCAAUUUUCCUAAUAAGAAAAAUCUGCACAGUACUAAUCAAAGGAUCGUCAUCUACUAACACAUAUUAUCGAAUUCGAGCAGUUUUUAUUCAGUCGAGAAAACUAACUAAUUGAAAUUUCUAUUUAAAACUUGUAUGUAUCGCUACGCUGUAGGCGAUUCACAAGUGCUGUGAAAUUAGGAUUAAGUUAAAUUUAAUUCUUGACCAAAUACAUAUAGGUGUUGUACGAUUUAAAAUUAGAUAAUUUUAAAAAAAUAUUAAAAAAAAAUGAAGUCUCAGCGGUUCUG